rnacentral:rRNA from 1 species
UGGGGAAUAUUGCACAAUGGGCGCAAGCCUGAUGCAGCAACGCCGCGUGAACGAUGAAGGUCUUCGGAUCGUAAAGUUCUGUUGCAGGGGAAGAUAAUGACGGUACCCUGUGAGGAAGCCCCGGCUAACUACGUGCCAGCAGCCGCGGUAAUACGUAGGUCCCGAGCGUUGUCCGGAUUUAUUGGGCGUAAAGCGAGCGCAGGCGGUUAGAAAAGUCUGAAGUGAAAGGCAGUGGCUCAACCAUUGUAGGCUUUGGAAACUGUUUAACUUGAGUGCAGAAGGGGAGAGUGGAAUUCCAUGUGUAGCGGUGAAAUGCGUAGAUAUAUGGAGGAACACCGGUGGCGAAAGCGGCUCUCUGGUCUGUAACUGACGCUGAGGCUCGAAAGCGUGGGGAGCGAACAGG